rnacentral:misc_RNA from 1 species
UUAAGUUCAGCGGGUAGUCCUACCUGAUUUGAGGUCAAAUUGAUCAAAUUGUCCCGUGAAGGACGGUUAGAAGCCAGACAACCCGAGCUACACAGUGACGACAUUAUCACACCGCAUAUAUGCUGCGAAUCAAAUUCCAGCUAAUACAUUCAAGGGAAGCCGGCGUGAACCAGCAGUCCCCAAGUCCAAGCUCACCUUUC